rnacentral:rRNA from 1 species
UACGUAGGGUGCAAGCGUUGUCCGGAAUUAUUGGGCGUAAAGAGCUCGUAGGCGGUCUGUCGCGUCUGCUGUGAAAACUCAGGGCUUAACCCUGAGCUUGCAGUGGGUACGGGCAGACUGGAGUGUGGUAGGGGAGACUGGAAUUCCUGGUGUAGCGGUGGAAUGCGCAGAUAUCUGGAGGAACACCGGUGGCGAAGGCGGCAUUCUGGACCGAAACUGACGCUGAGGCGCGAAAGCCAGGGGAGCAAACGGGG